rfam:Pirellula sp. SH-Sr6A, complete genome.
CGACGCUACGAAAGCAGCGCCGGGCUGUAUAGAAGUCAGCAGAGGCCGUAGUACUGACCUUCCAACGCCAAUGGAAGCAGGAAGGGC